UACGUACGAGGCAAGCGUUAUCCGGAAUUACUGGGCGUAAAGCGCGCGCAGGCGGACGUUUAAGUAGGGCGUGAAAUCUCCCGGCCUAACUGGGAGGGGUCGCUCUAGACUGGGCGUCUUGAGGACUGCAGAGGUGGGUGGAAUUCCUGGUGUAGUGGUGAAAUGGCGUAGAGGAUCAGGAGGAACACCGGUGGCGAAGGCGGCCCACUGG
rnacentral:rRNA from 1 species